rnacentral:rRNA from 1 species
GAUGAACGCUGGCGGCGUGCCUAAUACAUGCAAGUCGAGCGAACAGACGAGGAGCUUGCUCCUCUGACGUUAGCGGCGGACGGGUGAGUAACACGUGGAUAACCUACCUAUAAGACUGGGAUAACUUCGGGAAACCGGAGCUAAUACCGGAUAAUAUAUUGAACCGCAUGGUUCAAUAGUGAAAGACGGUUUUGCUGUCACUUAUAGAUGGAUCCGCGCCGCAUUAGCUAGUUGGUAAGGUAACGGCUUACCAAGGCAACGAUGCGUAGCCGACCUGAGAGGGGGGUCGGCCACACUGGAACUGGGACACGGUCCAGACUCCUACGGGAGGCAGCAGUAGGGAAUCUUCCGCAAUGGGCGAAAGCCUGACGGAGCAACGCCGCGUGAGUGGUGAAGGUCUUCGGAUCGUAAAACUCUGUUAUUAGGGAAGAACAAAUGUGUAAGUAACUAUGCACGUCUUGACGGUACCUAAUCAGAAAGCCACGGCUAACUACGUG